rnacentral:rRNA from 1 species
UACGUAGGGGGCGAGCGUUGUCCGGAUUUACUGGGCGUAAAGAGCGCGUAGGCGGAAAUUUAAGCGUGGCCUGAAAGCCCCCGGCUCAACCGGGGAGUGCGGCUGCGAACUGGGUUUCUUGAGGACGAUAGAGGAGAGUGGAAUUCCUGGUGUAGCGGUGAAAUGCGUAGAUAUCAGGAGGAACACCAAUAGCGAAGGCAGCUCGCUGGGACGGUAUUGACGCUAAGGCGCGAAAGCGUGGGGAGCAAACAGG